rnacentral:rRNA from 1 species
GAUGAACGCUAGCGACAGGCCUAACACAUGCAAGUCGAGGGGUAACAUUAGUAGCUUGCUACUAGAUGACGACCGGCGCACGGGUGAGUAACGCGUAUGCAACCUUCCUUUAACAGGAGAAUAGCCCCCGGAAACGGGGAUUAAUGCUCCAUUGUACUNUAAGUUCGCAUGGNUUANNAGUUAAAGUUCCGACGGUUAAAGAUGGGCAUGCGUGACAUUAGCCAGUUGGCGGGGUAACGGCCCACCAAAGCAACGAUGUCUAGGGGUUCUGAGAGGAAGGUCCCCCACACUGGUACUGAGACACGGACCAGACUCCUACGGGAGGCAGCAGUGAGGAAUAUUGGUCAAUGGACGCAAGUCUGAACCAGCCAUGUCGCGUGCAGGAUGACUGCCCUAUGGGUUGUAAACUGCUUUUGUACGGGAAGAAAUAUAGCUACGAGUAGUUAUUUGCCGGUACCGUACGAAUAAGCAUCGGCUAACUCCGUGCCAGCAGCCGCGGUAAUACGGAGGAUGCGAGCGUUAUCCGGAUUUAUUGGGUUUAAAGGGUGCGUAGGCGGAAUGGUAAGUCAGUGGUGAAAUCCUGCAGCUCAACUGUAGUUGUGCCAUUGAUACUGUCAUUCUUGAGUACAGAUGAGGUAGGCGGAAUGAGUAGUGUAGCGGUGAAAUGCAUAGAUAUUACUCAGAACACCAAUUGCGAAGGCAGCUUACUAAACUGACACUGACGCUGAAGCACGAAAGCGUGGGUAUCAAACAGGAUUAGAUACCCUGGUAGUCCACGCCGUAAACGAUGAUUACUGGUUGUUUGCGAUACACAGCAAGCGACUGAGCGAAAGCAUUAAGUAAUCCACCUGGGGAGUACGUCGGCAACGAUGAAACUCAAAGGAAUUGACGGGGGCCCGCACAAGCGGUGGAACAUGUGGUUUAAUUCGAUGAUACGCGAGGAACCUUACCUGGGUUUAAAUGGGAAGUGACAGGGGUAGAAAUACCUUUUUCUUCGGACACUUUUCAAGGUGCUGCAUGGUUGUCGUCAGCUCGUGCCGUGAGGUGUCGGGUUAAGUCCCAUAACGAGCGCAACCCCUGUUGUUAGUUACCAGCACAUAAUGGUGGGGACUCUAACAAGACUGCCGGUGUAAACCGCGAGGAAGGUGGGGAUGACGUCAAAUCAGCACGGCCCUUACAUCCAGGGCUACACACGUGUUACAAUGGCAGGUACAAAGGGCAGCUACACAGCGAUGUGAUGCUAAUCUCGAAAACCUGUCCCAGUUCGGAUUGAAGUCUGCAACCCGACUUCAUGAAGCUGGAAUCGCUAGUAAUCGCGCAUCAGCCAUGGCGCGGUGAAUACGUUCCCGGGCCUUGUACACACCGCCCGUCAAGCCAUGGAAGCCGGGAGUACCUGAAGUAUGUAACCGCAAGGAGCGUCCUAGGGUAAAACUGGUGACUGGGGCUAAG